rnacentral:rRNA from 1 species
CCUACGGGAGGCUGCAGUGGGGAAUAUUGCACAAUGGGCGAAAGCCUGAUGCAGCAACGCCGCGUGAGUGAUGAAGGCCUUCGGGUUGUAAAGCUCUGUCUUUUGGGACGAUAAUGACGGUACCAAAGGAGGAAGCCACGGCUAACUACGUGCCAGCAGCCGCGGUAAUACGUAGGUGGCGAGCGUUGUCCGGAUUUACUGGGCGUAAAGGAUGCGUAGGUGGAUAUUUAAGUGAGAUGUGAAAUACCCGAGCUUAACUUGGGUGCUGCAUUUCAAACUGGAUAUCUAGAGUGCAGGAGAGGAGAAUGGAAUUCCUAGUGUAGCGGUGAAAUGCGUAGAGAUUAGGAAGAACACCAGUGGCGAAGGCGAUUCUCUGGACUGUAACUGACACUGAGGCAUGAAAGCGUGGGUAGCAAACAGGAUUAGAUACCCGAGUAGUC